rnacentral:lncRNA from 1 species
CUAAGGCCCGGUCUUUUCACCUCCGAAUAAAUUUGCUCUUAUCUGGCAGUUAGCUAUCUGGAGGAUAAAUAUUUAUUCGCCAGAUAAAAUGUACCCGUCUUUUCACGUCAAUUUAUGUUCCAGUUAGUUAUCCGGUAGAUAAGCUUAAAACUUUAACUUAACCUAACAUAAUUAGAUUCAAAGUAUUUCAAAGAUGAUUUUAUCGAUUUUAUUUCCAUUUUGGAAGAAGGAAUGAAGGAAAUGUAAGUAAAUCAAAGAAUUACAACUUAAAAAAAUAGGUAUACAAAGUCAUAAGGUUUAGAAAUACAUUUCCAUAUUUUAAUCAGACAACAAUAUUGUUUU